rnacentral:rRNA from 1 species
AACGAACGCUGGCGGCAUGCCUAACACAUGCAAGUCGAACGAGACCUUCGGGUCUAGUGGCGCACGGGUGCGUAACGCGUGGGAACCUGCCCUUAGGUUCGGAAUAACUCCCCGAAAGGGGUGCUAAUACCGGAUAAUGUCUUCGGACCAAAGAUUUAUCGCCUUUGGAUGGGCCCGCGUUGGAUUAGCUAGUUGGUAGGGUAAAAGCCUACCAAGGCGACGAUCCAUAGCUGGUCUGAGAGGAUGAUCAGCCACACUGGGACUGAGACACGGCCCAGACUCCUACGGGAGGCAGCAGUGGGGAAUAGUGGACAAUGGGCGAAGGCCUGAUCCAGCAAUGCCGCGUGAGUGAUGAAGGCCUUAGGGUUGUAAAGCUCUUUUACCCGGGACGAUAAUGACAGUACCGGGAGAAUAAGCUCCGGCUAACUCCGUG